AUUGAACGCUGGCGGCAUGCCUUACACAUGCAAGUCGAACGGGAACAGGGAGCUUGCUCCGCUGACGAGUGGCGAACGGGUGAGUAAUGUAUCGGAACGUACCUUUUAGUGGGGGAUAACGUAGCGAAAGUUACGCUAAUACCGCAUAUUCUCUGAGGAGGAAAGCAGGGGACCUUCGGGCCUUGCGCUAAUAGAGCGGCUGAUAUCAGAUUAGCUAGUUGGUGAGGUAAAGGCUCACCAAGGCGACGAUCUGUAGCGGGUCUGAGAGGAUGAUCCGCCACACUGGAACUGAGACACGGUCCAGACUCCUACGGGAGGCAGCAGUGGGGAAUUUUGGACAAUGGGGGCAACCCUGAUCCAGCCAUGCCGCGUGAGUGAAGAAGGCCUUCGGGUUGUAAAGCUCUUUCGGCCGGGAAAAAAUCGCAUGGGUUAAUACCCUGUGUGGAUGAUGGUACCGGAAUAAGAAGCACCGGCUAACUACGUGCCAGCAGCCGCGGUAA
rnacentral:rRNA from 1 species